rnacentral:rRNA from 1 species
CAGUAGCCGCGGGAAUACGGAGGGGGCUAGCGUUGUUCGGAAUUACUGGGCGUAGAGCGCACGUAGGCGGCUUGGUAAGUUAGAGGUGAAAGCCUGGAGCUCAACUCCAGAAUUGCCUUUAAGACUGCCGAGCUAGCAGGUGAGAGAGGUAAGUGGAAUUCCGAGUGUAGAGGUGAAAUUCGUAGAUAUUCGGAAGAACACCAGUGGCGAAGGCGGCUUACUGGCUCAUACUGGACGCUGAGGUGCGAAAGCGUGGGGAGCAAACAGGAUUAGAUACCCCCGUAGUCCCUGUCUCUUAUAC